rnacentral:ncRNA from 1 species
AAAUAUUUGCCGCCGGGUAAGCAUCUUUUAAAUAUUCCAUUAGGCCUUUGAGGGAAUAUUCAAAAGAUGCUUUUUGUA